rnacentral:tRNA from 1 species
AGCAGCAUAGCAUUGGGCAAGAGCACUGGACUGGGAAUCCAGAGAUGCUGCUU